UUAAGCGACUAAGCGUACACGGUGGAUGCCCUGGCAGUCAGAGGCGAUGAAGGACGUGCUAAUCUGCGAAAAGCGCCGGCGAGGUGAUAUGAACCUUUGACCCGGCGAUGUCCGAAUGGGGAAACCCAGUGCAAUCCGUUGCACUAUCGUUAACUGAAUACAUAGGUUAACGAGGCGAACCGGGGGAACUGAAACAUCUAAGUACCCCGAGGAAAAGAAAUCAACCGAGAUUCCCCCAGUAGCGGCGAGCGAACGGGGAGCAGCCCGGAGUCUGAAUCAGCUUGUGUGUUAGUGGAACGGUCUGGAAAGUCCGACGGUACAGGGUGAUAGUCCCGUACACGAAAGCACACUUGCUGUGAACUCGAAGAGUAGGGCGGGACACGUGGUAUCCUGUCUGAAUAUGGGGGGACCAUCCUCCAAGGCUAAAUACUCCUGACUGACCGAUAGUGAACCAGUACCGUGAGGGAAAGGCGAAAAGAACCCCGGCGAGGGGAGUGAAAAAGAACCUGAAACCGUGUACGUACAAGCAGUGGGAGCCUCUUUAUGGGGUGACUGCGUACCUUUUGUAUAAUGGGUCAGCGACUUAUAUUCUGUAGCAAGGUUAACCGUAUAGGGGAGCCGAAGGGAAACCGAGUCUUAACUGGGCGUUAAGUUGCAGGGUAUAGACCCGAAACCCGGUGAUCUAGCCAUGGGCAGGUUGAAGGUUGGGUAACACUAACUGGAGGACCGAACCGACUAAUGUUGAAAAAUUAGCGGAUGACCUGUGGCUGGGGGUGAAAGGCCAAUCAAACCGGGAGAUAGCUGGUUCUCCCCGAAAGCUAUUUAGGUAGCGCCUCGUGAACUCAUCUUCGGGGGUAGAGCACUGUUUCGGCUAGGGGGCCAUCCCGGCUUACCAACCCGAUGCAAACUACGAAUACCGAAGAAUGUUAUCACGGGAGACACACGGCGGGUGCUAACGUCCGUCGUGAAGAGGGAAACAACCCAGACCGCCAGCUAAGGUCCCAAAGUCAUGGUUAAGUGGGAAACGAUGUGGGAAGGCACAGACAGCCAGGAUGUUGGCUUAGAAGCAGCCAUCAUUUAAAGAAAGCGUAAUAGCUCACUGGUCGAGUCGGCCUGCGCGGAAGAUGUAACGGGGCUAAACCAUGCACCGAAGCUGCGGCAGCGACNGAAGGUGUCCUGUGAGGGGUGCUGGAGGUAUCAGAAGUGCGAAUGCUGACAUAAGUAACGAUAAAGCGGGUGAAAAGCCCGCUCGCCGGAAGACCAAGGGUUCCUGUCCAACGUUAAUCGGGGCAGGGUGAGUCGACCCCUAAGGCGAGGCCGAAAGGCGUAGUCGAUGGGAAACAGGUUAAUAUUCCUGUACUUGGUGUUACUGCGAAGGGGGGACGGAGAAGGCUAUGUCAGCCGGGCGACGGUUGUCCCGGUUUAAGCAUGUAGGCGGAGGUUCCAGGUAAAUCCGGUACCUUGUUAACGCUGAGGUGUGAUGACGAGGCACUACGGUGCUGAAGUGAUAAAUGCCCUGCUUCCAGGAAAAGCCUCUAAGCAUCAGGUAACACGAAAUCGUACCCCAAACCGACACAGGUGGUCAGGUAGAGAAUACCAAGGCGCUUGAGAGAACUCGGGUGAAGGAACUAGGCAAAAUGGUGCCGUAACUUCGGGAGAAGGCACGCUGAUGUGUAGGUGAAGCCCCUGCGGGCGGAGCUGAAAUCAGUCGAAGAUACCAGCUGGCUGCAACUGUUUAUUAAAAACACAGCACUGUGCAAACACGAAAGUGGACGUAUACGGUGUGACGCCUGCCCGGUGCCGGAAGGUUAAUUGAUGGGGUUAGCGGCAACGCGAAGCUCUUGAUCGAAGCCCCGGUAAACGGCGGCCGUAACUAUAACGGUCCUAAGGUAGCGAAAUUCCUUGUCGGGUAAGUUCCGACCUGCACGAAUGGCGUAAUGAUGGCCAGGCUGUCUCCACCCGAGACUCAGUGAAAUUGAACUCGCUGUGAAGAUGCAGUGUACCCGCGGCAAGACGGAAAGACCCCGUGAACCUUUACUAUAGCUUGACACUGAACACUGGUCCUUGAUGUGUAGGAUAGGUGGGAGGCUUUGAAGCGUGGACGCCAGUCUGCGUGGAGCCAACCUUGAAAUACCACCCUUUAAUGGCUGGUGUUCUAACGUAGACCCGUAAUCCGGGUUGCGGACAGUGUCUGGUGGGUAGUUUGACUGGGGCGGUCUCCUCCCAAAGAGUAACGGAGGAGCACGAAGGUUGGCUAAUCCUGGUCGGACAUCAGGAGGUUAGUGCAAUGGCAUAAGCCAGCUUGACUGCGAGCGUGACGGCGCGAGCAGGUGCGAAAGCAGGUCAUAGUGAUCCGGUGGUUCUGAAUGGAAGGGCCAUCGCUCAACGGAUAAAAGGUACUCCGGGGAUAACAGGCUGAUACCGCCCAAGAGUUCAUAUCGACGGCGGUGUUUGGCACCUCGAUGUCGGCUCAUCACAUCCUGGGGCUGAAGUAGGUCCCAAGGGUAUGGCUGUUCGCCAUUUAAAGUGGUACGCGAGCUGGGUUUAGAACGUCGUGAGACAGUUCGGUCCCUAUCUGCCGUGGGCGCUGGAGAAUUGAGGGGGGCUGCUCCUAGUACGAGAGGACCGGAGUGGACGCAUCACUGGUGUUCGGGUUGUCAUGCCAAUGGCACUGCCCGGUAGCUAAAUGCGGAA
rnacentral:rRNA from 1 species